UAAGGGUAAAAAUGUAAAUGCUCAAAAGUCUAUGUGGCUUUCUCUUCUCUCAUUGCAAUUUCUCUUCAUACAUGAGAGGCACCAAAAAAAUUCCAUCUUCUCCUUUCCACACACCUCCCCCCUCACCAAUCACUAGAAACAAACUUGGGGUGCACUCUCACAUCUGUCCGCGUGAAUAGUGCACCCCUCAAUGCAAACAUGGCC
rnacentral:lncRNA from 1 species